CACAUAAGAUAUGUAAGCAUUUUACAUUGCACGAUGAUUGACAAAACAUACCAAUGGGUAUUCCAUUUAAACAUCUGAAAGGAACACUACAGCCUUUACAAAUAAAAGAUAAAAGUGUUUCAUUUGUAAGGCUCUAAUGUUUAAAACCCAUUUAAUUUAUCAGGACCCCUCUAUCUGUCCUAAAAAAUGUAUCUCUAAUCCAGUGGCGAGACAGUCCCUUGCCACAGCUUAUCUAUAGGAAGCAUGGUCUUCCACUUUGUGCCAGGGCACAAAGCAGAUAGGAAAAGCACCCUUCCAGCUGUCUGAAGAACAUGUUUGGGUGUGCAACCAAAACACUUUAUAAAAGUGCCACUUUAUCUGCACUUUUAUAAAUUUGUAAUGAAGGGAUACUCCUAAAGCUAAAGUUCUUUAGCAGUUUGGAGUGUUUCUUUAAAUGCCCAUAUAUAUGAUACAUUUAUACACACACCUUUACAGAGGCUGUGUGAAUUUCAUUGUAUUGUGUUCAUUUAUUCAGCAUCAAUGCAUAGUGGGCAUCUUGUCUAUCUGCCUACAGCCAUAUAUUAUUGUUUACGAUACAUUUUUACACUACACAGAAUGCAUAGAAUUAAGUAUUUGCACUUACAUUGAUGAAAAUUAAUGGAUUUUGGAAAUAGUUUGCCUAGUUUUUAUCAUAUUUCAUAUUAUAAAUAUGUCUGGAUUUAAAUUAAUGUUUACAACAUUUUCGUUAACAAAACCCUAAAAUUAGUUGAGUCCUUGAUUUAUGAUUUACUGGACCUCGGGUAGACUGUGAAUUCAAAUUAGUUUGGGGAGUGUAUACAUAAGCUCUUAUCUUAUUUUUGUUAAUGGAACACAAUGUUAAAAAGUACACAACCGUGUAAAUUGUGCAACCAACACUGCUUAAGAGAGGUCUGAUAACUAUUUUGUCAAACUAUUGGUGGGCUUACACGUUCCAUCGUUCAUUAAUAUCCUUUCAGUGACUUGAAGAAACACAAGAUUGCUGUGAGGACCCCAUUUUGAGAAUUAUAAAAUUCAGCUGCUGUAUUAGCAGACAAAUGGGACCAGUGUUUGUAAGAUUAUUUUAACACAUAUCACUUGAUUCCUCACCACAGUCAAGGUUUAUUGAUUCAUAUUUUAGGGUUUAAAAUAAAGUUUCCAUAAGUACAUAGUUGUAACUUCUGCUGUGUAAAAUAAAAUGUUUACAAGCCAGCUAACGGCAGAUAGGAAGUAGACCUUUUUUCCUUUUUCUUUUUUUUUUUCUCGCUAAAGACAAGCUAGGUAAAAUGAUCUUGUAUUUAUUAUUUGUUUGAGAUCUAUGUUUUUUUUUUAACCUGUUAUUUAAAAAAAUAUAUACUCACGAUUUUUUUCCUUCCAGAAAAUAAUCACAUUAUAAAAGUAGCCUACUCCAAUAUAACAUAUUAUAGUGCCAUAUUCAGUUUAAUACAUAAUUGAAUUUAAAACAUGAAUAACACUUUAUACAUCAGUAGUACAAUGCUGACAUCAUGUGGUCAUGUUGACUUGUGAUGUAUGUUCCCUGAGGAAAUUCUACUUUUUGUUUAGAAAUGUAACCUUCUACAGCUUUUAACCCACCUUGUGUUUUUAAAAUGUUAAUGUCUACAGAAUUAUUUUCAGUAAAUAGAAAAACACUAAUAUGUAUUUAUUGGUUUUGGAGAGAUAUUUUUUUUUUUUUUUUUUUUACUUUCUACUUGCAACUCCUUUUGACUGCAGUGAUCGUUUAGACCUCAGUCGCAGGCUUGGUUGCUACCAGAAUCUACAUAGUCCUUUAUCCUUCCAACAAAUAUAAGUACCUUUUGGGUAAAAGUCAGAACUAUUACACAGCUGAAUAUUGUGUGCUUUGAGUUUCUGUAAAGGGUAACAAGGUGCUAUAUAUAAGUAGUUUUCAGAUGAUUUCCGAAGAUCACAAACACACACUACUUUGUUAUAGUAUUUUAUUUAUUUUUUUAUUUUAAAAAAAAUUAACAUUAUUCAGCAAUUGUUAAAGUCUGAAUACUGAGCAUUUGGCCAGUUGUUCCAUCAUGAGUGAGAUACAUGGACAUCUCAAUUUAUAUGUGCCGGAUUCAUAUUAUGAAAUACUGUAUUACAUACAACCAUGAAGUGCUUACAAUACAUUCUUGAUAUAUCAUGGUCAUAUUUCAUAGUGGGAGCCUUAAUAAAAAAAAGUUAAUGAACACUGCCUGUAAGCUUCAUUUCAGGUUCAAUUCUAGCCCUGCCAUUGUCCCCUCACACCUUCAAGUACAUGCCAAUACGUCUUUUAUUAAAACCUCUUUGCCUAUGCUGCUUAUUUAUAAUCUACUGUACUUGGUUAUUCAAUUCCUACUCCACCUGUUAUCUUUCCAAUUGUCUGUUACAUUAAUUUCAAUGUGUAAUACAAUCUUCAUUGUUAACCUCAAAAUGUUGUAUGUAAAGAGAUUGUUUUGACUUGUUAUGUGCAGUUGUCUCUAUAUUUAUUGACCAAUAGAAUGAUAUGGGGAGUAAGUCAUUUUUAUUUGAGUGCUAAAAGGAAAGGGAAUUUUGUAUUGUGUGGGCAUAACACUAAAAGGUCCCUCCCAUUGUUUUCUUUUUCGUUUUUUUUUUUUCGUGGUGCUUUAGAAUAAAAGUCAGGGUCUGCAUUUAUCAAGACUCAUUUUAACACAUGCACAAUAUAUAAAUGUGUGUUGUUCUUGGUACAUUUGUGUAACUUAUGUUGGUCAGCUUUACCACUUCUGGGCGAUGAUUGGCAGACAUUUUGUUUGUGUAUUCCAUGCAGCUGUGUUUAGGGGGGGGAAAAAAACAAAAUAUAAGUAUCCCACCAUAUUCAUGAUCUGUCCUUCAGAAAACCAAACCAACAAAUAAUUAUUUGACUUGUAAGAUAAAGAAAGGCUGCUUUAUUUUCAACAUAUUUUGCUUAAUAUUACCUUUAGUCAUUAUUGUAGUUUGUAGAAAAAUUUUAUGAUAAUUGUGCUAAAAAAAACCUCUUAAAUUUGUUGCCAUACUUUUUUGUACCGAUGUAAAAUAUUUUCUUCUCAAGGAAUACUGCAUAUUUUUUUUUUAUAUAUAUCUAUAUCAUUUCCCCUGACCCCCAAGACCAGCAUUGCAGUGUUUUAAUGUGUUUUGUUUGGUUUUUGUUUGGUCUGUUUUUAAUGAUUACUAAAAGUAUUCCAUGGCAAUGCAGGGCAUUUUUAUGUUACAGCUGUAUUUAUAACUUCUGCCUGUAGUCCUGUGCUGGAACUUUGUCAAGUGUUGCUGGGCAAUGCAUUGUCGCCCCUUCCAGUCUACAGCAGUGAAGUGUAACACUUUCUUUUAACAACACACUUCAAUCACAGAUCUGUCUCUUGUCAUAAAUAAAUCUAAUAUUUGAUUGUCAUUUGGGUACUUCUGCUAAGCCUUAUUAUCAUACUAGUCAGAGGUUAAGGGGCCAAGCAUAGUCAGCACACAGUAUGUAUGUAAGUAGCAAAGACACACACCCCCUUCCUUUUUCUACCAAAGAAGCUGUUAAUAUACUACAAGCUUAGUAGUGCUUUAAUUUGACCAGAAGAGGGAGCCAUUGAGUUCUCUGACAGUGCUGUAAUUCUGAUUUAGCAUUUUAUUCUUGCUUAAAUUGCAACCCGACUAAAAUGACACUAAGUAUCACAAGCAUUUUUGUUACAACAAUAAUAAAAACAAAACAGUAUUUUAUUUAGAAUUCAGGGAUCAUGCUUUUUUUUUUAUGGUGCUUUUUUUUGUUGUUGUUCUUAAAAUGUUUUGCCUAUGAAAAUAACUGCCCACAGUGCUAUCACUCAUAUAUGAGUCCCGUGUGCUCUCCUCUGCCUCAUUCUACAUAAAGAAAAUAAUGGGCUUCUACAAAAAAAAAUAUUCAGAAGAAAAUAAAGAAAUGAGAACAUAA